rnacentral:rRNA from 1 species
UCAGGGGUAGGGGAGCGUUGUAUGCCGGGUUGAAGGUAGACCGGAAGGACUGCUGGACUGCAUACAAGUGAGAAUGCCGGUAUGAGUAACGAAAAGAUCAGUGAGAAUCUGAUCCGCCGAAAACCUAAGGGUUCCUGAGGAAGGCUCGUCCGCUCAGGGUAAGUCGGGACCUAAGGCGAGGCCGAAAGGCGUAGUCGAAGGACAACAGGUCGAAAUUCCUGUACCACCGUAAAUCGUUACGAGCGAUGGGGGGACGCAGUAGGGUAGUGACGCAGACUGAUGGAUGUCUGUCCAAGCAGUGAGGCUGAUGUGUAGGCAAAUCCGCACAUCGUUAAGGCUGGGCUGUGAUGGGGAGUGAAAAUUACAGUAGCGAAGGUCAUGAUCUCAGACUGCCAAGAAAAGCCUCUAGCCAGAUGAAGGUGCCCGUACCGUAAACCGACACAGGUAGGUGAGAAGAGAAUUCUAAGGCGCGCGGAAGAACUCUCGUUAAGGAACUCGGCAAAAUGACCCCGUAACUUCGGGAGAAGGGGUACCCCGGUAGUGUGAAUAGCACGAGGGGGUCGCAGUGAAAAGGCCCAAGCGACUGUUUAGCAAAAACACAGGUCUGUGCGAAGCCGCAAGGCGAAGUAUACGGGCUGACGCCUGCCCGGUGCUGGAAGGUUAAGGGGAGUGGUUAGGAGUAAUCCGAAGCUAUGAACCGAAGCCCCAGUAAACGGCGGCCGUAACUAUAACGGUCCUAAGGUAGCGAAAUUCCUUGUCAGGUAAAUUCUGACCCGCACGAAUGGCGUAACGACUUGGGCGCUGUCUCAACGAGAGAUCCGGUGAAAUUUUAAUACCUGUGAAGAUGCAGGUUACCCGCGACAAGACGGAAAGACCCCAUGGAGCUUUACUGCAGCUUGAUAUUGGAUUUGGGUACGAUCUGUACAGGAUAGGUGGGAGCCUAAGAAGCAUGAGCGCCAGCUUGUGUGGAGGCAACGUUGGGAUACCACCCUGAUCGUAUCUAGGUUCUAACUUGGUACCGUGAUCCGGUGCGAGGACAGUGUCAGGUGGGCAGUUUGACUGGGGCGGUCGCCUCCUAAAGAGUAACGGAGGCGCCCAAAGGUUCCCUCAGAAUGGUUGGAAAUCAUUCGCAGAGUGUAAAGGCACAAGGGAGCUUGACUGCGAGACCUACAAGUCGAGCAGGGACGAAAGUCGGGCUUAGUGAUCCGGUGGUACCGCAUGGAAGGGCCAUCGCUCAACGGAUAAAAGCUACCCUGGGGAUAACAGGCUUAUCUCCCCCAAGAGUCCACAUCGACGGGGAGGUUUGGCACCUCGAUGUCGGCUCAUCGCAUCCUGGGGCUGAAGUAGGUCCCAAGGGUUGGGCUGUUCGCCCAUUAAAGCGGUACGCGAGCUGGGUUCAGAACGUCGUGAGACAGUUCGGUCCCUAUCUGUCGUGGGCGUAGGAAAUUUGAGAGGAGCUGUCCUUAGUACGAGAGGACCGGGAUGGACAUACCGCUGGUGUACCAGUUGUUCCGCCAGGAGCAUCGCUGGGUAGCUAUGUAUGGAAGGGAUAAGCGCUGAAAGCAUCUAAGCGCGAAGCCCACCUCAAGAUGAGAUUUCCCAAUUAGUAAGACCCCUUGAAGACGACGAGGUAGAUAGGCUGG